CCAACAGGGAUUGCCUCAGUAACGGCGAGUGAAGCGGCAACAGCUCAAAUUUGAAAUCUGGCCCUAGGCCCGAGUUGUAAUUUGCAGAGGAUGCUUCUGGCGCGGUGCCUUCCAAGUCCCCUGGAACGGGGCGCCAUAGAGGGUGAGAGCCCCGUCUGGUUGGCCGCCAAGCCUGUGUGAAGCUCCUUCGACGAGUCGAGUAGUUUGGGAAUGCUGCUCUAAAUGGGAGGUAGACCCCUUCUAAAGCUAAAUACCGGCCAGAGACCGAUAGCGCACAAGUAGAGUGAUCGAAAGAUGAAAAGCACUUUGAAAAGAGGGUUAAACAGUACGUGAAAUUGUUGAAAGGGAAGCGCUUGUGACCAGACGUGCGUCGGGGUGUUCAGCGGGCGUUCUCGCCCGUGCACUCGCCCCGGCGCAGGCCAGCGUCGGUUCGGGCGGGGGGACAAAGGCGCCGGGAACGUAGCUCCUCCGGGAGUGUUAUAUCCCGGCGUGCCAUGCCCCCGCCUGGACCGAGGUUCGCGCUCCGCAAGGACGCUGGCGUAAUGGUCCCCAGCGGCCCGUCUUGAAACACGGACCAAGGAGUCGAGGUUUUGCGCGAGUGUUUGGGUGUCAAACCCGCACGCGUAAUGAAAGUGAACGCAGGUGGGAGCUUCGGCGCACCACCGACCGAUCCUGAUGUUCUCGGAUGGAUUUGAGUAAGAGCGUAGGGCCUCGGACCCGAAAGAUGGUGAACUAUACGUGAAUAGGGUGAAGCCAGAGGAAACUCUGGUGGAGGCUCGCAGCGGUUCUGACGUGCAAAUCGAUCGUCAAAUUUGCGUAUGGGGGCGAAAGACUAAUCGAACCAU
rnacentral:rRNA from 1 species